GGCUCUUUGUUAUAAAAUUAAACAAAUAGGGAGUCAAUCCUGCCCAAUGAUCUGAGGAUUAAAUGGCCGCAGUAUCCUGACUGUGCAAAGGUAGCAUAAUCACUUGCCUACUAAUUAUAGGCUGGUAUGAAUGGUUUAACGGGAGCUUAACUGUCUCAAUACAUUAAAUUAUAUAAAAAUUAUUUUCUUGGUGAAGAAACCAAGAUAUUGUUGGGGGACAAGAAGACCCUAUUAAGCUUAAGUUAAUGGGUAAAAUUAUGAGGUUUUUAAUACUUGUAUUUUUACUUUAAAUCUUUGAUUGGGGCGAUUGAGAAGCAAAUAAAGCCUUCUUUAAUUUUAGUACAUAAAUUGUCAAUAAAUUUGGACCCAGCAAGCUGCUGAUUAGAAAAAAAAGCUACUAUAGGGAUAACAGCAUAAUCUCCUUGGAGAGCUCUUAUCGAGAAGGGGGGCUGUGACCUCGAUGUUGGAUUAAGGUGUACCGGGGACGGUGUAGCAGCUUCUCAGAGUUAGUCUGUUCGACUAUUAAAUACCUUACA
rnacentral:rRNA from 1 species